GGAUUGUGGCUCAAGGAUAGAGCACUUGCCUAGCAUGUGUGAGGCCCUGGGUUCGAUCCUCGGCACCA
rnacentral:tRNA from 1 species